rnacentral:rRNA from 1 species
CACGUAGGGGGCGAGCGUUGUCCGGAUUUAUUGGGCGUAAAGAGCUCGUAGGCGGCUCGGUAAGUCGGGUGUGAAACCUCCAGGCUCAACCUGGAGACGCCACUCGAUACUGCCGUGGCUAGAGUCCGGUAGAGGAGCGUAGAAUUCCUGGUGUAGCGGUGAAAUGCGCAGAUAUCGGGAGGAACACCGAUGGCGAAGGCAGCACUCUGGGCCGGCACUGACGCUGAGGAGCGGAAAGCGUGGGGAGCGAACAGG